rnacentral:rRNA from 1 species
GAUGAACGCUGGCGGCGUGCCUAAUACAUGCAGGUCGAGCGAAUGGAUUAAGAGCUUGCUCUUAUGAAGUUAGCGGCGGACGGGUGAGUAACACGUGGGUAACCUGCCCAUAAGACUGGGGUAACUCCGGGAAACCGGGGCUAAUACCGGAUAACAUUUUGAACCGCAUGGUUCGAAAUUGAAAGGCGGCUUCGGCUGUCACUUAUGGAUGGACCCGCGUCGCAUUAGCUAGUUGGUGAGGUAACGGCUCACCAAGGCAACGAUGCGUAGCCGACCUGAGAGGGUGAUCGGCCACACUGGGACUGAGACACGGCCCAGACUACUACGGGAGGAAGCAGUAGGGAAUCUUCCGCAAUGGACGAAAGUCUGACGGAGCAACGCCGCGUGAGUGAUGAAGGCUUUCGGGUCGUAAAACUCUGUUGUUAGGGAAGAACAAGUGCUAGUUGAAUAAGCUGGCACCUUGACGGUACCUAACCAGAAAGCCACGGCUAACUACGUGCCAGCCGCCGCAGUAA